rnacentral:lncRNA from 1 species
AUUGCCCUCUUCACACAGGUUGGCCAAAUGGGAAGACUGACCUUAUUUCCACUCUCCUCCUGAGGGUGAUGACGCAGCCCCACGAGCCAGGGAUGCUGUGAUCGAUGAGAGAUGGACUUCAGCCUCUGCGGUGACCCCCGGAAGAGGAAGCAACUGGACAUUUCCUCUGCACAUUGUCUUUUGCAAAGAUACAAUACUGUAUUGGUUUUCUUCUUGACCCAGGAUGUCUGGGAUUCAGCACCAAUUGCUGGAAGCCGGGAAGGCGUCCACCCGCAGGGCCCGCCGGCCGGCUCCCUGCACGUUGGGAGAACAGCCAGGUGGAGAAGCCCGCCUGUAUUUCUAGGCAGAGGCUCUGGACCCGACUCCAUGGCAACCUGGAAAGGGAGACAGGGAGCCCUGUGCGUCAUGGAGGGUCUGGGAUGCGCAGAGGGAAGAACACAGUCGGCUGCAGCCGCAUCUCCAGCUGAUGAACCACACUGGCCCUGCUCUACAAUCUGCUUGGAAAGACUCUCCAGGGGGCCUGAGAACCGAGUUUCCUUGGUGCAUCUGGCAAGCACCUCCCGCCAAGACUCUGAGUCAUUUGCGCUGAAAAGGGUCGGGAGUCCGUUCACAACACCUGGCCUUUCUGAUGUGACUGUGAGUGAGUCACCGUGUGGGAGACAAGUUCCAGAGUGAUAGUUCUCCGACCCCCAUCCCCCAGGGUCCCUGAGGGAGGUCGUGUUAGAGCCCAGGCUGCCAGACCCUCCCUGCAGCUUCUCAUGUGUGGCUCGUGGCUGGAGCUCCAGAAUCCGCUCCUCUAACAAGUUCCCUGGCAAGGCCUUGCUGCUGCUCCCGGGACUCCACUUUGAGAACUAGUCUUUUCCUGUCCUGGGGAAAACAAAAACCCAGCUUGGUCAUGUCAGUGGUCCAAGGAGAGGAAACCAAGCCUUGCUCAUCUUUUCUUCCCCAGCACAGCAGGCUCACGCUUGGCUAAUUAAAUGCACCUGGAGAUCUUUUAGAAUGUUCCCAUGAUGUUCUUUUUCUUUUUACUGAGAUGCGUUUGAUGUACAAUAUUACAGAGUUUCCGACUGUACGACAUAGUGAUUCACCAUGCUUACGAAUAUACUCCACUCACAGUUAUAAAGCUUGACUGUACUCCCUGCUGUACAGCAUGUCCUUCUAGCUUCUUUAUUUUGUGCGUAGGCAUGUCUGUCUCUUGGUCUGCGCCCCCUAGCUCGCCCCUCUCCUUUACCUCUCCCCGCCUGUGACCACUUGUUUGUUCUCUAUAUCCACGACAUCAUGGCCAUCCAAGUCUGAGAUGGGAAAGAAUUUCCAGACACAGAGCAUUUCAGAGGGGAGUGAGUUUAUUAAGAGCAAGGAGCAGAGAUAAUAAAGGCGCUGCAAGCACAGUGGGCCGACCUCCGGACAAGGAGAGUCAGUGCUUUUUGUGGGUUAGCAGCCAGUUUUUAUAGCCUCAAGACACAGAAAAGUCCUGCUGGAAGGCUCGCAUUAGGUGAUUGGUUAGGGCACUAUAGGGUGAUUACUGGAAUGAGCUUUUUCGCCUAAUUUAGGGUCAAGAAAUCUGCUGGUGACGAUCAAGGGGGCGUUGGCAAUGGUUACAAAGGGGCUCAGUCAGCUUCGGUGGCCUUGGUUCUGGGCUCCACGUCUGUGGCUUGGGGCAGGGCUCCACAUGCGAGUUUGUCUCUUUUUUGUUAUAUUC